AGUAGCAGCUAACAGCUCAAUUACAACAACAACAGCAGCAACAACAAGCCCAGUACAGGGUAAUGCAGGCAAAUUGAACGUUGAACACCAAAGAAAUACAGAUACUGCUUUUUUUACCAUGCAGUCAUUAUUAAUCAUUUCCCUGAUCCUCAACGUCCUGCUGGUGGUUUUGGUCGUCAUGCAGUGGAGGAUGCGGCCAGCGGUUGUGAGGGGAAAUGCGGAUUCGGGGGAGAAUAAAAAUCUCACCGAGUGUGACGGAGACCUUUGAUGUCCACGAGAGACUGGAUGCAUCACUGGAGCCACACUGCUUUAAGGACUGCUCUCACGACAUUGCAUAUUCUUAUAUUCUGAUAAGAGAGCUGUGGGAUGACACUCUGUGAGGAUCAGAUCCACACUGUUUCCUGACAGGAAAGAAUGGACUGACUGUAGUUUGCAAUGGCCUCACUGGGUGGGGUUCAUGUCAAAAUAUGAGGAGGGCUGGGAGUAGACAAGCAGCAGCAUGCCGCUGCACUUGCCUUGAGGCAGUCUGUAUUCAAGAUGAGUCCCUGCAGCGCUGAGUCAAAGAGAAAUGAGGGGUGAUGAGUCCGAAAGGUCACAUUAGACUGAGAUAUUUGUGGAAUUUGUGUGUCACCUGUGAUAAAUCCGCCUCUUACGCUCCCAUGCUUGUUUUCAUUGACCAGGACAUGCGAACAGACAGUGAGUGAAUGAUUUAUUUAAUGUCGAAAGGAAGCUCUGAACGAUUUUAACUUUUUUUUAGCAUUUAUAGUGCUGAGAUGUAGGUUGGCAUUGUUUGUUUUUUUGCCAUGAGCCAUGGCCACACGUGCUGUCCAUAUUGCUACACUUGCUGUACAUUUUGCCACAGUUUUAAUGUUGUUUUUGACGUAUGAUAUAGAAUUAUGACGUGUUUAUACAGUUCAUUUCAGUAUUCAGUAUUGUAAGUCGCUUUGGAUAAAAGCGUCUGCUAAAUGACAUGUCAUGUAAUGUAAUGUAAUAUUCAGCUCAGUAACAACAUGGUAAUAGUAGGCAGCACUUCAGUAAUAAAUGACUCAUACAGGGUUCCCACGGGCCCUUGAAAAAAUAAUAUGAUAAUAUUACAGUAUUACCAUGUCGCUGUAAAAUAAACUGUGAGCUGUGGUUAAGAUAUGAAUAACAUGGUGUACUGUAAUAUGGUAGCAGCUUAUAAUAAUAUGGUUAUACAAUGGCAAUAUUAUGGUAAUACAUUUGUUUUAUUAUUUAAGAUGACACGAUAGCCGAGAGUGAAUAUAAUAUAAAUACAGCUAUCAUCAUGUGCAAAACUAUGUCUAGUGUUUUGUGCUUUUGUGUACAUUAAUAUACAUAUAUUUUAUUUGGGCAUGUUACAAAUAAUACACAAACAAAUUGCUUUCCUGACUGUAUUUUCUGCCUUCAAGACACGUGUGCUAUAUUACUUACCUUAGUGUUAAUAAAGUGGAUGAUUAUGUCUACUAAUGCCUCACCAUAAUAAACCGUCUUGUGCAGCUGUUCUCACACUCCCUCUUGUAACAGUGGUCAGUUUCUCGCACACUCCCCUGUCUUGCACUGUUAACAACGAACAAGUAAUGAUUUUUUUGAUUUUUUUCAAAAUCCUGAAUCACAACUGAAAUUUAUGAGCCAUAGCUUAGCACCGUCACCAGGAAGUGUUGCCUAAUCCCUCCUUUACUUCCUGAGUGUUGCUGCUCACAAAUAGCAUCAAAUCCAGCUUGUUUUCCAUCUGAGAAACUAACCAAGAUAAAUGGUGGAGCAUCUUACAUUUCUGAGGUGAUGUUGUGUAAUGUAACCGGGAUAUCUAAGAUAAAUCCACAUGUACAGUAUUUCAUUAAAAAGUUGUCAAAAGUU